ensembl:lncRNA
GUUAAUUUCUUUGAUUUUAAGAAAAGUUUAAGAAGAGGCAAAAUAAUAAUAAUAGCCUUAGGUUUGGAGGAACAAAUAACUGUCCCAGGAGGAAGGAAAACACACGGCUUUGUCAGGCUGAAUUCGUUCUGUGUCCCAUCCUUUUGAGGCCGAAACUGGUGCCAGAGACAAGGGCCUUCCUAAGCCAUUGACUCUACCCUCUUCUUUCUGCAAAGCUCAACAGAAUAGUCCCCAGUUUAGCUCUGCAUGUUUCAACUCACGAAAUCCUAGCUGACCUCAGGACUCUCCCUAUGCCUUGCUAGUUCUGGACCGUUCUCAGAGACUGGCCGCUGAAGUCCGUGAACAGGCUCUGCAGAGCUUCGCAUCCUCCAUGCCCCUCCCCUGUGUGAUUGGCAGGGCUGAGUCCGCGUCCAGUGUCAGCUUCUGAGAACGGACGAUAGCUGCCGCCUUGUUUUUACGCCAACCUCCCUGGGCGAGUGGACGCUAAGAGGGACAAAAUCACUGUCUUGGCAAUUUGUCCCUCCAUUUCCGGGAUUCCUUCACCUACUUUAGUUUCAAUUUGCCACUUCCUAUAUCUGUUGCAGGGCCCUGGCACACGCCGGCAUGCCCUUGUUCCCCCGUGCAUCCCACUCCCCUUGGGAGAUGCACCGCGGAAGGGACGUGGGCAAAGGGCAGAGGACGUGGGGAGGCUCGGAGACGAGAAAACCUGAAGAAGCUGCUCUGUCACCUGUUCUGCCUCCACUGGGACCUUCUGCCAUUACGUGGGAUGAGGGAGGGCUCAGAGGAGAGGGAAAUGGUUGUGGAAAUUGGACGGGAGUAGGAAUUAGGAGAAGCAACAGAGCAGAUUUUAAGCAUUUUGCAGAGAAAUGGUAGAAAAGUGAACGUUGAGUCCAUUGAAGCGGAGGAGAGGGGAACUGGUGAGGAAUGAGAGGGCGCUGGAAGUGGCGGGAUUUUUUCACAGAAAGAAUCAUGUUUUGCUGGACUAGAUUUUGUUCAGGUUAGGUAUAUUUCCCCACUUAGUUUUGUGAGAUGUCUGGAGGUAUUCUUUUCUUCUUUUUUCAUACAAAUGUUUCUGUAGAUGGGUGGGUUUGCUAUAAACUGCUUUCACCCUGCAAGGGGUUCUCCCUGCCAAACUUUCCAAGGUACCACAUUUCAAAACUCUCCGUGUGAGGAGUUCCCGUCGUGGUGCAGUGGUUAACGAAUCCGACUAGGAACCAUGAGGUUGAGGGUUCGAUCCCUGCCCUUGCUCAGGAUCGAACGGCAACCUCGUGGUUCCUAGUCAGAUUUGUUAACCACUACGUCACAAUGGGAACUCCACAAUUUCAUAAAACUUUGUUUUCUGAGACACUUAUCUUUCAAAUGGGAGACAUAUUUUUUCAGUAUUUGGCCAUUGAUGGAAAGAAUUCAAGUACACGUCAUUGUAUUUUGUCUCAGUCUUGCUGCUUCUGUCUUGAGUCUAAAUGCAAAUUAAUUUGCAAACCAACUCAGGGUACUAAAGCUGAGCGCACAUUUGAAAAAAGCCGUAUCUGGAGAACACUGACUCUUACCUGGAAUUUUGCUGUUGACACAGUGUUUCUCAUUUUUCACUUUCUCUAGUGUAGUGUCUUUAGUGGAGUUUGUAUUUAUCUCUGUAUGAAGCUGGAUUUCACUUUACUUUCUCUUUAUGGUCUUAUCACACGGUUUACAAACACUUUAUCUCUGUUACAGAAAAUAAAUGAAAUUCCAGGCUUUCGGUGAAAUGUCAUGCUGAAAUGGAUGGUCCAAAAAUCUAUAUUUAGAUGACUGACUCCUGUUUGAGGAAGACAUGAUAAAUGUUCCAUGCAUAUAAACUGAAGGAUGAUGGAUUUAAUGAUCAUACCCUAACUGGGGAAUGCUAUUUUGGAAUAAUUAAAUGUUCCAUCAUUUGCAAGUCUAAAUAGUCCAUUGUUAGUUCCUGUUUUUGUCUGUCAACAGAUCCUUCCACUUUCUAAAGGAAAUUUAUCAUUAAAACAAUUGAACUGAUAGCAACAUCUCACCAGAGUGUGUUAGCAAUAGCACAUUUCAUGGGACUCUGAUUCAUAGCUACAGUUUAGGAAAACUUAAUUUAUGUAUGAGUCUGCUUCAUAAGUGACAAACAUGACAAGCAUUGUUUAAAGGCUACUGGUAGAUAUUUAUCUUCAGGUACCGAAGUGAUCGCCUGUUCGAAGCAGUGGCUGAGCCUUUUGUCAGAUGAAAACAAAACUCAUGGAAUAAAAGAGCAUUCACAGAGUAUUUUCUGAUUAAAUAAUGAUAAUUUUACAGUCUAUUUUCUUGCUGAUUCUAUGUUUUAGAGGUUUUUACAUCCU